CGUUUCUCUUCUCAAGUCACUGUUACAUGAGGUGGAGCCCUGCUUUCCUAGAGACAGACAAACACGUACCUGCCCGUGCAAAUUUUCAGAUUGCUAUAGCACAAGAACAGUGAACUGGACCAGUGCUAAGCACGGCUAAUACCAGGGGGAUUAGUUCUAAGCACACAGUUGGCCACAGAAGGAGAGAAGGGGAAACAGUUGCUGGAAAAUGUGUUGAUGUACAACUUUAGACAAGCUUUGCUGCUGUGAAGGCACAGAGAAAAUGAAUGUUCAACAAUCACCAGUGUCUGAUGACCCUCAGCCAGCAGUGCACUUGAAAAGCAACAGUGGCACAGACCCUGUUUUAAAACCAGCUUGUCUUUCAUGAACAAAUUAAUUGGAUUAGCUCUGCUUUAACCACAAAGG